UGCUGAAUUCAGGGAAAUCCUGAAUUUAUAAUUAUUUUCAUUUAUAAAAUUAACAUGAAUCGAUUUGCCAAAUAGUGCAUUUAGGAGAGCAGCAGUAUGCAUACAGUGACAGUUGUGAAAUAACUAUUUUCCAAGUGUUUCUUUUAUAAACUUUUGUAAGCUUCUGACAAGCAUAGACUGGUUCUGGUGCCGCAACAAACUUUCUACAUAAAUUAUUCAUAGACAAGUAAGCCACUCAAACCGCCUACCAACGAUAAUUAUGUAAUCGAUGUUAAUUCUUCCAUAACAUUAAAUAAAUUCGAUGAUCUCCGAGUACGCGCGUGAGUAAUAUUAAUCCGUGAAUUGUGUUUUCGCGCCGGAAUCCAAUCGCGCCAAGAAAUUUCUUCCUUUCCUUUCGUCUGCUUGUAGCCAUUGAUCACCCACCGCCGUUUCGAUCAUCAGCUGAUGACCUGAAAGUAGUGAUACCGCCGAAAACGUGAUGCGUCGAAAAUAUGAUGUCGUGUGCUACUGAAUGUUAGAUUAGAAACAUACAAGCUUUACGUAAAAUUGAUCGAUUGGUCAUGGCAAUAUCUAUGAGUACAGCCACAACAACCUAGGAUGACCACUAGUUGUUGGGAACAUGUAAAAAUUAAGAAAACUUAAAAACAAGGAUAUUAAAAACUACUCCUCCACACCCACGUGGACAAAGACUGCAGUCAAAUCUAACAGCAGAAUAGUUAGCAUCUUGCACAGGAUGACGAUGAUGAUGUUGAACAUUUCUGGAAUACGUUAUCGAUGAUUUCACUGUAAAACACAUGUAAGGAAGUAGCAAUCAUAAUUGACUAUCGAUGCCCGGUGUGAUCACGUAUGCGGCAUCCCCUGAAGGUGGAUUGGAAACCGUCUGCACUGCACCUCGAUCGAAUAGGAAGUUUCCUCUGUCCGCUUGGAGCCGCUUGUGAAAUCGUUCGAAUUAUUGCUAGCUGCAACCGCAUUUGU